GGAGGGGAACGUAACCCGGCGAAAGUCGGACUAAUACCGCAGUAAAACAGGGGCACCGCAUGGUGAUAUUUGUUAAAGAAAUUCGCGUGAUAGAUGGGCAUGCGUUCCAUUAGGUAGUUGGUGAGGUAACGGCUCACCAAGCCGACGAUGGAUAGGGGAACUGAGAGGUUGGUCCCCCCACACUGGUACUGAGACACGGACCAGACUCCUACGGGAGGCAGCAGUGAGGAAUAUUGGUCAAUGGGCGGGAGCCUGAACCAGCCAAGUCGCGUGAAAAGGAAGAAGGAUCUAUGGUUCGUAAACUUCUUUUGCAGGGGAAUAAAGUGCAGGACGUGUCCUGUUUUGUAUGUACCCUGAGAAUAAGGAUCGGCUAACUCCGUGCCAGCCGCUGC
rnacentral:rRNA from 1 species